AUUGAACGCUGGCGGAAUGCUUUACACAUGCAAGUCGAACGGCAGCACGGGGCAACCUGGUGGCGAGUGGCGAACGGGUGAGUAAUACAUCGGAACGUGCCCAAUCGUGGGGGAUAACGUAGCGAAAGUUACGCUAAUACCGCAUACGAUCUACGGAUGAAAGCGGGGGAUCGCAAGACCUCGCGCGAAUGGAGCGGCCGAUGUCAGAUUAGGUAGUUGGUGGGGUAAAGGCUCACCAAGCCGACGAUCUGUAGCUGGUCUGAGAGGACGACCAGCCACACUGGGACUGAGACACGGCCCAGACUCCUACGGGAGGCAGCAGUGGGGAAUUUUGGACAAUGGGCGCAAGCCUGAUCCAGCCAUUCCGCGUGCAGGACGAAGGCCUUCGGGUUGUAAACUGCUUUUGUACGGAACGAAACGGCGAGCUCUAAUACAGUUUGCUAAUGACGGUACCGUAAGAAUAAGCACCGGCUAACUACGUGCCAGCCGCCGCAGUAAGAC
rnacentral:rRNA from 1 species